rnacentral:rRNA from 1 species
UACGUAGGGGGCUAGCGUUGUCCGGAUUUAUUGGGCGUAAAGAGCGUGUAGGCGGCCAGGUAGGUCUGGUGUGAAAACUCGAGGCUCAACCUCGAGAUGUCGGCGGAAACCACUUGGCUAGAGUCCGGAAGAGGAGAGUGGAAUUCCCGGUGUAGCGGUGAAAUGCGCAGAUAUCGGGAAGAACACCUAUGGCGAAGGCAGCUCUCUGGGACGGUACUGACGCUGAGACGCGAAAGCGUGGGGAGCGAACAGG